rnacentral:rRNA from 1 species
UACGUAGGGUGCGAGCGUUGUCCGGAAUUAUUGGGCGUAAAGAGCUCGUAGGCGGUGUGUCACGUCGGCCGUGAAAACCUGCAGCUUAACUGUGGGCGUGCGGUCGAUACGGGCAUCACUGGAGUUCGGCAGGGGAGACUGGAAUUCCUGGUGUAGCGGUGAAAUGCGCAGAUAUCAGGAGGAACACCGGUGGCGAAGACGGGUCUCUGGGCCGAUACUGACGCUGAGGAGCGAAAGCGUGGGGAGCAAACAGG